rnacentral:rRNA from 1 species
UACGUAUGGGGCAAGCGUUAUCCGGAUUUACUGGGUGUAAAGGGAGCGUAGGCGGCGGGGCAAGCCUGAUGUGAAAGCCCGGGGCUCAACCCCGGGACUGCAUUGGGAACUGCCCUGCUGGAGUGCCGGAGGGGCAGGCGGAAUUCCUAGUGUAGCGGUGAAAUGCGUAGAUAUUAGGAGGAACACCAGUGGCGAAGGCGGCCUGCUGGACGGUGACUGACGCCGAGGCUCGAAAGCGUGGGGAGCAAACAGG